GAUGAACGCUGGCGGCGUGCUUAACACAUGCAAGUCGAACGAGAAGUGAAGACGGAAACCUUCGGGCGGAAGGCUUUAUUUCGAUUGGCGGCCGGGUGAGUACCGCGUGGGUAACCUGCCUCAUACAGGGGGAUAACAGUUGGAAACGACUGUUAAUACCGCAUAAGACCACAGCACCGCAUGGUGCGGUGGUAACAACUCCGGUGGUAUGAGAUGGACCCGCGUUCGAUUAGCCAGUUGGCGGGGUAACGGCCCACCAGAGCGACGAUCGAUAGCCGAGCUGAGAGGAUGACCGGCCACAUUGGGACUGAGACACGGCCCAGACUCCUACGGGAGGCAGCAGUGGGGAAUAUUGCACAAUGGGGGAAACGCUGAUGCAGCGACGCCGCGUGAGUGAAGAAGUAUUGCGGUAUGUAAAGCUCUAGCAGCAGGGAAGAAAAUGACGGUACCUGAGUAAGAAGCCCCGGCUAACUACGUG
rnacentral:rRNA from 1 species